rnacentral:rRNA from 1 species
GUGGGGAAUAUUGGACAAUGGGGGGAACCCUGAUCCAGCCAUGCCGCGUGUGUGAAGAAGGCCUUUUGGUUGUAAAGCACUUUAAGCGAGGAGGAGGCUACCGAGAUUAAUACUCUUGGAUAGUGGACGUUACUCGCAGAAUAAGCACCGGCUAACUCUGUGCCAGCAGCCGCGGUAAUACAGAGGGUGCAAGCGUUAAUCGGAUUUACUGGGCGUAAAGCGCGCGUAGGUGGCCAAUUAAGUCAAAUGUGAAAUCCCCGAGCUUAACUUGGGAAUUGCAUUCGAUACUGGUUGGCUAGAGUAUGGGAGAGGAUGGUAGAAUUCCAGGUGUAGCGGUGAAAUGCGUAGAGAUCUGGAGGAAUACCGAUGGCGUAGGCAGCCAUCUGGCCUAAUACUGACACUGAGGUGCGAAAGCAUGGGGAGCAAACAGGAUUAGAAACCCCUGUAGUCC